rnacentral:rRNA from 1 species
UUCGCAAUGCCCGAAAGGGUGACGAAGCGACGCCGCGUGGGUGAGGAAGGCCUUCGGGUUGUAAAGCCCUGUCAGGAGUUAAGAAAUGUAGGUGCGCUAAUAUCGUGCCUAUUUGACAAAGGCUCCAAAGGAAGCCACGGCUAACUCUGUGCCAGCAGCCGCGGUAAUACAGAGGUGGCAAGCGUUGUUCGGAAUUAUUGGGCGUAAAGAGCACGUAGGUGGGUUUGUAAGUCAGAUGUGAAAGCCUUCUGUUCAACGGAAGAAUUGCAUCUGAAACUGCGAGUCUUGAGUGUAGGAGGGGAGAAUGGAACUUCUGGUGGAGCGGUGAAAUGCGUAGAUAUCAGAAGGAACGCCGGCGGCGAAAGCGAUUCUCUGGCCUAUUACUGACACUCAGUGUGCGAAAGCUAGGGGAGCAAACGGGAUUAGAUACCCCGGUAGUCCUAGCCGUAAACGAUGGGCACUAAGUAGAGGGGUUUU